rnacentral:piRNA from 1 species
AUGAUAAGUAAGCUGCUUAUAGGGUCGC